rnacentral:rRNA from 1 species
AUUGAACGCUGGCGGCAGGCCUAACACAUGCAAGUCGAGCGGAGCGGCGGACGGGUGAGUAAUGCCUAGGAAUCUGCCUGGGAGUGGGGGAUAACGUCCGGAAACGGGCGCUAAUACCGCAUACUAUCAGAUGAGCCUAGGUCGGAUUAGCUAGUUGGUGGGGUAAAGGCCUACCAAGGCGACGAUCCGUAACUGGUCUGAGAGGAUGAUCAGUCACACUGGAACUGAGGAACGGUCCAGAAUCCUGAGGGAGGAAGCAGUGGGGAAUAUUGGACAAAGGGCGAAAACCUGAUCCAGCCCUGCCGCGGGUGAGAAAAAGGUCUUCGGAUUGUAAAGCUCUUUAAGUUGGGAGGCGUUACCAACAGAAUAAGCAACGGCUAACUUCGUGCCAGCAGCCGCGGUAAUAC